GAAUGUGAAGGCAAUCUGGUUGUGACAUCUGUUACUCCAUUGAUUGCUAGGGUUGAUGCAGCUGAUAUGGCUGUGGAGGCGGGUGUCCCCUUCCUCCCUCACCACUCUAUGUGCAUCCCUCCUGAAGCUGCGCCCUCAAACAGGACGACCUUCCCCCAGUAGAAGAGGACUGGUCUUCAGUCAAGGGUAUACAAGUAGCUGCUCUCCCCUGUUAGAACCCUAAACAAGCUCUCAAGGGAUUGUUUAAGAGCUUAUUUGUACGGUUUUAUUUGCUUUUCACCAUUGGGGUUGAA
rnacentral:snRNA from 1 species